rnacentral:rRNA from 1 species
UAAGCGGAGGAAAAGAAACUAACAAGGAUUCCUUUAGUAACGGCGAGUGAACCGGGAAAAGCUCAAAUUUGUAAUCUGGCUGUCUUCGAUAGUCCGAGUUGUAAUCUAUAGACGUGUUUUCCGUGCUGGAUCGUAUCUAAGUCCCUUGGAACAGGGUAUCAAAGAGGGUGACAAUCCCGUGCUUGAUACGACGACCAGUGCUCUGUGAUACACGUUCUACGAGUCGAGUUGUUUGGGAAUGCAGCUCAAAAUGGGUGGUAAAUUCCAUCUAAAGCUAAAUAUUGGCGAGAGACCGAUAGCGAACAAGUACCGUGAGGGAAAGAUGAAAAGCACUUUGGAAAGAGAGUUAAACAGUACGUGAAAUUGUUGAAAGGGAAACGAUUGAAGUCAGUCGUGUUCUUCAGAUUCAGCUGGUUCUUCCAGUCUACUUCUGUUGAACGGGUCAACAUCAGUUUUGUCCGGUGGAUAAAGGUAGUAGGAAUGUGACUCCCCCGGGAGUGUUAUAGCCUAUUAUUGCAUACACUGGGUGAGACUGAGGACUGCAGCUCGCCUUUUGGCCGGUCUUCGGACACGUUCGAGCUUAGGAUGUUGACAUAAUGGCUUUAAACGACCCGUCUUGAAACACG